AUUACCUCACCUUGAAAGAGGAGAUGAAUGGAAAAUAGGAGACAAAACCAAGAGAAGAUGGAGGAGAUGUUAUGUUGCCACCAUCUUUGGCCUUCUUCGCGCACGCGGUUGGCCAGGCUCAAUGCCUCUACAAAGUUCUUCAUCCCAUCUCUUGCAAACAAGAAAAGAUGAUGCCACAUACAUUUGUGUGGUGUUUUGCAACUUUGAAUCUGCUGCCUGGAGAGUGGCACAAGCUGCAUCUAUGUUUAGCCUAGGUGAGCAUACUGGGUUUAGGAAGAAGCAGAAAAUGGUCUUCAAGGUGCUGAAGAUUGGGAUAGUUUUCCGCUCCGUCAUCAUUGGGGGUGACCUUGGGGAUGUCUUAGGACGCCUGCACCAUCCGCCCGCUUGUCGCAACGCUCUCCUUCCACCAGGUCUUCGAGGUGACGGGCCUCAGCGGAUGCAUCACACAGGUGUGAGGAUCAAAACAUACAUAUCUCAAUUUCGAUGUGAUCCAUGUGCAAUUGGUUGAAUUGAUAUCAUGGCAAUGAUUUUUCUUCCGAUGCUGGUUUGUGGCAUCCGCGCAAGCCGCAACAACGCGCCACAGGUCCCGUGGCUGAUGCGGGAGGGAGGAGGUUACAUAGUGAGGAGGAGACAGAGGUGGCGGCGGAAGAGAUGGAGCAGCAGCAGAAGGAAGAGUAAACCUGAAUAUCAGCUCCAGCUUCAAUAUACUAUGCUAUAUUGCCUACAACAGCAAGUAAGAUGCUUGCAAAACCGUGCAGCAGGUUCCUCUUUCAAUUCUUGAGGGUUAUUUGCACAAAAAUGUGCAAAUGAAUUCACUGAUCAAUAUAAGCUACAGAAGAGGUGGAUUUCAGGUUUGAUUAGUUGACUUGCUUGCUGCCAAUUAGAAGAAAGGUGUUUCACGAUAUACUUGGUUGAUCUUACUGAUGUUAAGAAGAGGACACAGAGCUGGGACUUUAAGCCAUACCUUUUUUUUCUACGAAAUGACAGUGACAAGCCAGAUGAGCAGCCACCAGCCCUUCUCCACCAUGUUGUCGAUAGUUUUGGGUGGAAGAAGCAUGAGUUUAUCCGAGCUUGACGCUGGAUCUUUAUUUAGUAUGUCCCUUCACAGGCCACCUCACUCAUUGCUGUUAUCCGCUGGAGCGUUGAUGAGGCACCGUUCCUCCGCUGUGACAUGCUAUGUUGCUCUCAUCUUCCCAGCAUCUCAACAAGACAUGUCAGUAGAUCUAUUAUGUUUGCGGUAAUUAAGAAGAUUAUAGGAAGGAGUUGCUUCAUAGGCAAGUCAAGAGUAGAUGGCAAUGCUUCCUUUUUGGGAGUUCCAGGAUAUUUUUCACAGAAUAUGGAGGUUCAGGAGUAUUGAGGCUUGCAAUCUUAGCAAAUAGCCAGAUAAGCCAAAAUUUCCCCAUUCCUUCUCUACAGUUAAUCUCAUAUAUCUUCUUGCUUUCCUCUUCUCUUGGCCUUAUUUGACUGCUCAAUAAUUAAUGUGUUACACUCUGUUGUGUCAAGAUAGUAUAUAUCCAUAUCUCAAUUUUGUAGCCGCUUUCUUGCAUCAGGUUGGACCUCUGCUAAGAUGGCACAUCAGUCAUGGCUUGAUAUUUCUCUUCUGAAAAAUAGGGCCGUUUUACUUACAUGAGGAGUAGAUUAGAAAUUUGAUGAUGUCUUUUCACUGUACAAUUUACUAUAUGUCCAGUCAUGGUUCAUUAUCUAUGCACACAGGCAUUUGAUCGAUUGCGAGAAGAAAUUGUAUGGAUUUUUUUUGAAUGCUUGAGCAAGGUAAAUUCUAUUCUCUGUACUGCUGAAAAAUCAUUCAUUAUCAUGCAUUGCGUUCAAUACAAAUUUAUGCCCUCCAUCUCUUUAGGUUGUUGCCACUCGCCACACUGUCCUUCUCUAGCUGUGCAUGCUAGCCUUUGAAAUGGUGCAAAAAUACUUCUAUAUUGAUUUCAGAUAUAACAUAGACGAUGAAGGGAAAUAUCUUUCUUUUUUAAUAUUUAUUCUACAAAGGUCUGCAAUGCAUUGCACUAUUGCAGGUAACUAAACUUUAUCUAAUGGAAAGACAACGAUGACUAUUAUACUGUUUGAAACUAAUAUGAUUAGGAAAGAAAUAUGAGGAGGUUCACGAGAGGAUACUAAUAUUGUAGGUUUAGAAGGCGAUCAAAGGAUUUUCUUUCAGAAAUUAUUAUCCGAGUGUGUUGAUUGGGUUUUCGGACUAUUUAUCAUUUUCUCAUGAAUUUAAUGCAUUUGGAUUAUAUGUGUGUUAACUUCCCCUUUGUCGCCUCUCUAUCUUAGCCAUAUCGUCGCCCCUGUCCUAUCGGAAUGCCUGCUGAUAAUUUCAGCUCUGCCGAUAGUUUCACACUCUCACUCAAGUGACAAUCAUCCUUUGCCUCUUUCCCAUUUUCUCUACAAAUACUUCAGCUUAGCAACUUUUAAUGUUGAUAUCCUUUUGUGUUUACAGCAUGCACCUAUUUGAAAAGGCUGUUACGGUUUGUUUGAAAUGAUAUGGUAUGAUUUUACAAAUGUUAUUGAGAAUUGAGAAAGGAUUAUAUUUCACCAUUAGCUUCCUGAAAUGAAACUUAGUAAUGUGAGAGAAGAAGCCAACUUAUUUGCUCUUUAUCAGCUUGCCAAGAUAACAAUGUGAUUUAAAAUUCAAGGUGAAGUUUUUGAUUGAGUGAUGUUCGUAUCGUCUAUCUAUUACAUGAAGCAUGAAAAUAUGAUGUGUGUAAAGUGUUGCUACUGUUGAAAGUAUGGGGAUAAAUCACCCUGUUUUCCAGAUUAUAUUAGCCGGUGCGUAGAUACCUCACUGAUCAUAUGUGCCGGUGUCAUUUUACCUUUGAUUGUUUUCACUACAUGGAAAAGGUAGUAAUCGUACUAUUGCUGCAAGCCUUGGGUGCAGUGCUUUCACAUAUUUGUGUAGGAUAUAUGGAUUUUAUUAAAUGAGCUAAUUAAUUCAGUUUCAUCUAAUAUCUGUCUCCUAUGUAAUUAGAAUAUAUAUCAACGAUUUUGUAUUGGUGCAUCAGCAUCAUCCACAUGAAAAGUUUAUUCUGACAUCUACUUUAGGAUGUGUGAGAUUUGCUAUGGACGAUAAGGAAUAAUUUCCAAUCAUUUUAGUGUUGCAACCACCAAUGUUCUGAAACUGAUAGCUUAAAAUCUGAGACUUGAGUUAAGAAAUAAAAUAAAAUAUCCCUUAUAUAUUAUAUAUGAGUGUACCGAUAAAACUUUUCAUGACAUAAUAGUAGUGGUAGUGAGCAAUGAUUAAUGUUUUCUAGCUUCCAAUUGUCAUUGAAUAAGAACAUCAGUUUUAUAUUGGCAGCAGAUGCACAUCCUGAUUGGUCAUUCAACCUUAAUUUGCAGUUCACUGCCAUGAACCCAACAAUGAUAAGGCAAAUCAGUAGAUAGUGUAUGAGUGUACUAAUCAGUAUACAAGCUUGACUACCAUGGUCACUGUCAUGGACUGAGUUUCUCAACUGUAAGUGCGAUGUGAUUCCCUAGCAGAGAGGAGGAUGAAAUGUGGAGCAGCUUGGUGGGCACCGAAGCAACAAGCGUUGGUUGCCUUCAGCGGUGAUAGCUACAGAACCGUGCCCUUCUCCUCUUGUUUCCAAGAUGUGUAGUCCAGCAGAGUAUAGAGAUAUGUUAUUCACUUCUCAGCGGAUUAUCUCUACAUGGCUUUAAUUGUUAACUGAAACUUUCUAUUUGUACCCGUGUGAGAUUUAAGAAGAAAACGGGGAAGCAAAGGAUUCAGUUCUACUCUAAUUACUAAGGCAUGUCAGCAUGCAUUCUAUUUCUAUGGUUCUGAUUAAUUAGUAUUGGGAUGUUUGAUGUUCA